UGGGGAAUAUUGCACAAUGGGCGCAAGCCUGAUGCAGCCAUGCCGCGUGUAUGAAGAAGGCCUUCGGGUUGUAAAGUACUUUCAGUCGGGAGGAAGGUGUCAAGGUUAAUAACCUUGGCAAUUGACGUUACCGACAGAAGAAGCACCGGCUAACUCCGUGCCAGCAGCCGCGGUAAUACGGAGGGUGCAAGCGUUAAUCGGAAUUACUGGGCGUAAAGCGCACGCAGGCGGUUGAUUGAGUCAGAUGUGAAAUCCCCGGGCUUAACCCGGGAAUUGCAUCUGAUACUGGUCAGCUAGAGUCUUGUAGAGGGGGGUAGAAUUCCAUGUGUAGCGAUGAAAUGCGUAGAGAUGUGGAGAAAUACCGGUGGCGAAGGCGGCCCCCUGGACGAAGACUGACGCUCAGGUGCGAAAGCGUGGGGAGCAAACAGG
rnacentral:rRNA from 1 species